UAAAUAAUUUAAUUAUUAUUAAAUUAAAUAAUAAUUAUAUAUUUAAGUAAAUAUUAAUUUAAUUAAUUAGGAAUAUGUGAAUAUGUAUAUAUAUAAAUUUUUAUUUAUUUUAUAUAAAAUAAUAAUAAAAUUUUUUAAUUUAGUAUUAAUUUAAAAAAAUAAAGUUAUUUGAUAGUUAAAAAGUAUUGUAAAAGAAAAUAUUUAUUAAAUUUAUUUAUAUAAAGUAAAAAAUAGUAUUUUUUACCUUUUGUAUCAGGGUUUAAUAAAAUUAAUAAAUAGAUUUAUUUAAUUCUCGAAAAAAAUUGAACUAAUUAAUCAUGAGUUUUAAUGUGAAAAUAUUAUUGAAAAUAAUUAAUUAGAGGUGAUAUACUAAUCGAAAUUUUUAUAUCUAGUUAUUUUAUAAAUAAAUUUAAUUUAGAUAAAAUUUUAAUUAAUAUUAUUUAUAAAAAUAUUAAUUUAAAUUUUAUUAAAAAUUUAAGGGAUAAGUUUUAAAUUUAUUUUAAUAUAUUAAAUAAAUUUUAUCUUAUUAUUAUUAAUUUCUUAUAUUUAAUUAUAUUUAAUAUUAUUAAAUAUAAAUUUAAAAUUUUAAAUAAAGAAAUAAUUUGAUUUAUUUAAAUAUUUAAUUAAUUAUAAAAUUAAAAAAUUAAAUUAUAUUAAUUUUGAAAUAAUGAUAAAAUUAGUAAAUAAUUAUAUUAUAUUAAAUAUAUAUAUAUAUUGAUAGAUUAAAUUAAGGAAUUCGGCAAAAAUUUUAUUCGCCUGUUUAAUAAAAACAUGUCUUAUUGAUAAUAAUUUUAAGUCUAAUCUGCUCAAUGAUAAUAUUUAAAUAGCUGCAGUAUCUUAACUGUACAAAGGUAGCAUAAUCAUUUGGCUUUUUAUUGAAGUCUGGAAUGAAAGAUUGCACGAAAUAAAAUCUGUCUCAAUUUAAUUAAAAUUUAAAUUUUAUUUUAAGUAAAAAUUCUUAAAUAAAUUUAAAAGACGAGAAGACCCUAUAGAAUUUUAUUAUAAUAAUAAUUUAUAUUUUAAUAAGUUAUAUAUAAAUUAUUAUUAUUAUUUAAUUGGGGCUAAUUUAAAAAUUUAAUAAAUUUUUUAAAAUUAAUAAAUUUACAUAAUUAUAUUUAAAUAAAUAUUAUUAUAUUAUUCAUUAAUAAAUGAAUUUGUAUUAAAUUAUAAUCCAUUUUUAGUGAAAUUAAAAUAAAUUACCUUAGGGAUAACAGCGUAAUAUUUUUGGAGAGUAAUUGAUAAAAAUGUUUGCGACCUCGAUGUUGAAUUAAGUUAAAUAUUUAGUUGAGAAAUUAAAUAAAUUAAGUCUGUUCGACUUUUAAAAACUUACAUGAUUUGAGUUUAAAACGGUGUGAGCCAGUUUGGAUUCUAUCUUUAAAUAAUUAUAAUAAUUUUGUACGAAAGGACUUAUUAUUAUUACUAUAGUAAUUUAAAUUAAUGAAUAUAAAUUAAUAAUUAUAU
rnacentral:rRNA from 1 species